AAAAAAAAACUCGAUGAUAUUCCUCAUUUUCUCAUACAAGUUGUUAAUUUCUAGGACACGACUAACGAGAGUAGGUGUGCACAAAUUUUGUCGGCAAUUUGAACGAGAGAAGAGAAUAACAUGCCAUAAUGAUAGACACCUCAGCGGCUCAGCCUCCAUUUUUGACACUCUACAUCCUUAUAUAAAUAAUCUCCACUGGGAAGAACGUGCUACGGUUGGACUUGACUGGUGUCCGGCGGCUGAAAACCUCGAUGCAUCAAGUUUAGAUCCGGGGUAAAUGUUUUUAAGGUUCCACAUUAGAUAUUGGACCUGCGUUUUCAUCUUAUAUGGCC
rnacentral:lncRNA from 1 species